rnacentral:rRNA from 1 species
UGCGGCGUGCCUAAUACAUGCAAGUAGAACGCUGAAGCUUGCUUCUUGCACCGAGCGGAUGAGUUGCGAACGGGUGAGUAACGCGUAGGUAACCUGCCUCUUAGCGGGGGAUAACUAUUCUAAACGAUAGCUAAUACCGCAUAAAAGACGAUAUCGCAUGAUAUUGAUUUGAAAGAUGCAAUUGCAUCACUAAGAGAUGGACCUGCGUUGUAUUAGCUAGUUGGUGAGGUAACGGCUCACCAAGGCGACGAUACAUAGCCGACCUGAGAGGGUGAUCGGCCACACUGGGACUGAGACACGGCCCAGACUCCUACGGGAGGCAGCAGUAGGGAAUCUUCGGCAAUGGGGGCAACCCUGACCGAGCAACGCCGCGUGAGUGAAGAAGGUUUUCGGAUCGUAAAGCUCUGUUGUAAGAGAAGAACGAGUGUGAGAGUGGAAAGUUCACACUGUGACGGUAACUUACCAGAAAGGGACGGCUAACUACGUGCCAGCAGCCGCGGUAAUACGUAGGUCCCGAGCGUUAUCCGGAUUUAUUGGGCGUAAAGCGAGCGCAGGCGGUUAGAUAAGUCUGAAGUUAAAGGCUGUGGCUUAACCAUAGUACGCUUUGGAAACUGUUUAACUUGAGUGCAGGAGGGGAGAGUGGAAUUCCAUGUGUAGCGGUGAAAUGCGUAGAUAUAUGGAGGAACACCGGUGGCGAAAGCGGCUCUCUGGUCUGUAACUGACGCUGAAGCUCGAAAGC